CAUGAAACACAAACACAUUAUCAUGACACGAUGGCCUUGCUCAGACUGCCAGACUCCAGUUGUUGACUUAUCCAGCCUGUAUCCAGGUUGAUGACAGUAAAAACGGAUACUUAAAGUGUUCAAAUGGAACUGAUUUCUCAGUUUGGUCACUACAAUAUAUGACCUGCACUAUGGAGAACAUGGCGGCCUAAAUAACCCGUCUGAUGGUACGUUAGUGGAGGCUCCUCCUUUACAUGUGAAACUGGAAAAAGUACAAAGUCACAAAGCUGCUUCACCACAGUCACUAAUGCAGAUAAGUGGUGAUAUCAACACAAACAAACCUGAUCUGAUCACUUGCAAAUAACAAGAAAUAAAUGUGAGUUGGCUGCAGUCUGAACAAAGCCUAUGACAGAUGGUCCUUUAUCAGACACACAUCCCAGAUAACAGCUUAAAUAUCCAAAAACACACAGAGAUAAGUGCAUUUUACACAUCACACAUCUGUAUUACUCUAUAGGUAUUACACAAAUCA